rnacentral:lncRNA from 1 species
GACAUGAACUAUAGCAGUUGGGAGGAGGCAAGCAGGGCCCUAAACUCAUUGGAAAUCCUUUCUUCCCAACUUCCAAGGUAGACUCCUGGGAACGACCUCUCCUUGGUGGUCAGCUUCUGUCCCUCCUACUGUAUACCCCAUCUCAUUGUCAUCGCUUCUCUCCAUUUUCCCUACUGCCAGCCUUAUUCGUAUUUUCCCCCUAGGCUACUCCCACGGCUAUCUGCUGAUCUGCCCCACUUAAUCCUCCAUCUCUCUCCAGUGACUUCUCCAUACAUUGCCACAGUAAACUUUUUCAGUGAUGCUCCCAAGCCCAUCCCAGGCUUUCCUUCUGCCAGGUGCCCUAUCUCAUUUCCAAAGGAUACCCACCCCACCUUCAUUUAUCAUAUUUUAGCUUCAGUGUCCCCUCUUUCUUUCCAUCGGUUCUGAUUGUUACUCUCCCACUUCGCUCAUUCUCUCUCACCUACUUUUUUGCCUGCACUUAUCGUCUGUGAACUCCAGGCAAAGCACACUGGUUUAUUCGCCAACGAGUGCUAAAAACCCAGCAGGUCUUGCAGGACAGACAUCAACCUGUGCCUCGUGUCAACUAGAGCCCCAGAGAAGUGUCGUCAAUGGUUUUCAAAGCAUGUGCCACCAAGAAUACCUCUCACAUGGCGAUUCCAAAGUGAACAAGACGUGUGUGAAGGAAAUCUGGCAGAGACAUUGAGAAAGAACUUCAGAGUAUAAAGGCAUGGAACUCUCAGUGGAGGGAGGUUCCUGGCACUGUGACACCAAACCAUAAGAAGCUUGGGCAAGGAGUAGCUGAAGCUUUGAGAUGUCACUUAAAACCCAUUAAUUCUCCACCUCUAUAACUGAGGUAUUAGUCACCAGAACAACAGAGUGCCUACCAGCCAAAGGUCUCCAGGGAGAAAUGAAUUAUGGUGUUUCUGAUGAAGUCGGCCAUUGUCAUAGGAUCUCCCUCCUCAGUUCAAAAUGCUAAUCCUACAGUAAAAGGUCAGAUGGGUGGGGUGCAAUCCUUGUAUUCACCAGCAGUUCAGACCAUAGCCAUUUUUUUCCACUGGUUUGAAUCAACGGUAUCUCAGGAAGGUGAGAUACCCAGGUAUAGCCAGGUGGUCAGGAAGUGAUGAGAUUGCAUCAAGUCUCUUGGGCCAAAGGAGAAAGUCUGUGAACUAGUCAGAGAAAAGUGAAUAAUAAGCAGGAGAGGAACAACCGUGGCUUUUAUCCUUUGGUAUGAGAGUCCAGCUAUGGGAGAAUAAAGCUGGCAUAGUUCCCCCAAUGCAUCUUAAUCCUGGGGAGAAUAGUGUUAGAAUCUUAAGUACUGUAUUGUGCAGGUUGCUCACCUGUAGGAAAAUGUAAGCACACUAAACAGCAAAUUCUUUGCCCUUAUUAACUACCUGAUCAGUGGUUCACUGUUCAGUCUGGUAUUGUAAUGGGGUGUGACGUGUACACUGUUCAGGGUGGUCUAUGUCUGAAGACGUAGAAGCCUUCAGAUCCAAGAGAGUAGGUAGAGAUUCAAAUGAUGCCAGUCACAAAGGUUUGAGAGGCCGUGACCUUUAGUCUUUGCCGACCAGACAAGCAAUGCAGCUUCAGCAAAGGUUUGAGAAAGCAAAGGGAGUGGAGUAGAUUGUCAUAAGGGCAGAGAGUUAGAUGCUCUGGGAUCAAAUCGCCCACAUAUCUGAAUAGGCAAGAACUGAGAGCUGUCUUACUAUCUCCUAGAGACAGCCACUCUCUAAAAUCACAAGUGUCCACACUGGAUAGCCACUGGGAAGUCCAUUUCACACUAGGAGGAGACACCAUUCCUCCCGGCAAUGGUUUGGGUCUCAAGUCUCACAAAAGCUCAUAUGUGGUCUCCAGAAUGGGUUUGGGGCUUUGGGGUCUUUAGGAAGUGGGGCCUCCUGAGAGGUCCUUGAAGAAGAUUUUGAUAGCCUGCUCCCUUCCUCUUUCUCGUCACAGUCAGGUGAAGAGUUGGCUCCUCAGCGCACUUUCAUCAUGAAGCACUGCCUUGCCACAGACAACCUAUUAAAGGCAAUGAUAUCAAGUGAUCACCAAGCACAACUGCCAGCCAAAAUCUCCCUUUCCCCUUUUAGAGUCAAUAGUCUUGGAUGCUUUUCCGUUGUGGUAGAAAGCUAAUACGUUUCACCCUCAGAGGGCCAAGAAACAGAAGACCACUUCUGGACCGUAUAUGACAGUUCACUGGCAUAGGAUCUGAUGCUUUUUCUCACUUUCAUCCAUCAAACUGUUCUUCAUUAGAGACUUGAAAAAAAGACCUUGUAAAAGUCGUGUGCUUCUGUUGACUCCCACCCAGCUCCCAUACAAAGAAGUCCAGUCGCAAUGUGUCAAAAGUGACUGCUUUUAGCACAAUCGUACUAGAUAUCAACAUGUUAAAUAUUAGCUAUUAAUGAGACAUUAAAGUCAAUUAAGUUUCUUUAAUCUAUUACUUCCUUGCAACAAAUAAAACCUGGUGUUAAUUGUCUGAGAAGUACUGCUGAUGGAAACCUUCAUUUCUCUGUCUGUGUUUGCAGUGCCUCAGGUUUCUCCCACUCUUGUUCAGAAUUCCAUGUACAGUGUACCCCUACCUUGUCCCUUAUCACCACUGAUCUGUUCUCCAUUUCCAUAAUUUGUAUCUAUAAGAUGUUUGUUAAUGUAAAAAGCAGCGUUGUGAUAAGCAGAAUAAAGAUGCUACAUAGAAUAUCCAUGCAAUAAUACUAUUGCCAUACCCCC